ensembl:lncRNA
GGAAAAAGUCUUUGAUAAUCCCUAAAUAUAUAUCCAAAUUAAAAACCUAAUAAAAGUAAGUAAUUAUGUCUGAAAACACUGUUCUUAGUAAGUAGGGAACACACGAGCUGUAUAUAUUUAUAAAUAGGGCUGUAUAGGCAUCUAGUGCCUACACUGGUUUUACAGAUGAUUUUAUUUUUUCCACCAGGUGACACUAAUCUGCCUCAAGUCAAUGGAUUUUUAAGUACUUCUAAUUUUUAACUUAAGACUAUAGGGUAUUCUAUAGUCUUUGACUGUACACUGCGCAUCCAGUCAUGAAAGCAAUGACUGUAAAAUGCGCUCAAAUAAGUGAGAACAGAUGCUGAUUAUGACCAAAUACACUUAUAAGUACAUAUUUUUUUCAGCGCAUCCCGUACAGAGAUUCAAUGCGCAAUGCGUAUGGUUGCCAUGACAACAAGCCACGCUGGCUGCUGCUCCCUGCUGUCAUAAAGCCCUUGAAUAUUAUAUUUAUUUCACGAGUUUAUGUAAUAAAAUUUAUCUAACAUUUCUUUUUCUUUUUUUGAGUAAUAAUUGUAAUAUUUAAAGCAGCUGUGUUGUUUUAAGACAAAUUUCCGAUCAGUGGGUGUUCCAUUGUUUACGUCAUUAUGAUCGCUGCAUUCCAUUAGAACGUUCGGUGAGUAGGCUACUCUAUAAAUAUGAGUGCAGAGGAAUCAGGCAUUUUGUAGCGAGUUGUGGCGAGUUAUCGUGAGUAUACUUUUUACAAUUUGGACACCUGAAUUUUUAAUCAAUGUUUUCAUAACUUGGAGAAAAAUAUGCUCUGUGCUACACAGUGGAGGUUUGUGUGGAAAGUUUCAGAUAUGUAAAUUAGUAAUGAUCAAGACAAUAACUAUUAUAUAUAUUUAAUGAUAUUGAUAUAAUGAUAUUUAAUGAUGCAUUAUAAUCUCUCUAUAAACAUAACACUUUUCAGUAUAUUAUAACAGAACAAAUCUUGUGGUGCCAAAUCAAGAGUAUGACCAUUUUAAAUUAUUACUCCCGCCACCACUCCUUCAUUAUGAUUAACUCUGAAAGCUGAUACUGAAAACUUUGAUAGUUUAAUAUUACCUCUUACAAUGAUUAGAUAUGCAUGUAAAAGGGGGUAUAUACUUUUACAUUAUGAGCAUCUGAGUUAUGCACAUUAGUUGGUAAACAGUGUAUGAUGGACCCCCACUGGGCAUACACUGUUUUUAAAAAUAAUAAUAAUAAUAACUUUAGACAACCAACUUGCAGGCUCUUAUAUGUUUACUCAACUCAACUGUUUCCUUUCUGUUUUUCUGUCACAGUGUUUACAGAUAGAAAGACAAAGUCAGUGUAUUGUUCACUUAUUUGGAUCUUCUUUUAUCAUUACAUCGAACAUCAACAUGAGUUUGUUAACCAUCACCAAAAGUUUUCCCGAGAGUACAGUGCAGUCCUCAUCUCCUGAACUCUCAGAUGAGCUCACCGCUGCCCUCGCCGCAGGGCGAUGGUGGGCAAUAAUGGAGGUUUCUUCUCCUAUAUCUGAAGAGUCUGAGUAUGGGGACUUCACCUCAGUGCAGUGGUGGGGAACAAUGGAGGAAGGAGAAACUUCAUGCCCCAAGUCUCUGGUCUUCAGUGGUGAAUCUGAGAAGGCUGAGUCCCCGCACUCAGGCUUCCCAGCUGCAACACUGAAGACCAAGGAGCUGUGGAGGCAGAAGAAGACACAGGGUGCACCCGUGCCUCCCAGGUCCCAACAGGGAGCACCUGUGCAUGCAAAUACCAAGAAGAGGGACCACACCUCAUCCCUGGUCUUCAACUAUGCAUCUAAGAAGGCUGACUCUCCACACUCAGGCUUUACAGAUGCAACAAUGAAGACCACGGAGCAGCAGAGGAAGUGGAGGCAGAAGAAGCCUCAGGGAGCACCUGUGCUUGCUGAGUCUGAGAGGGCUGAGUGUGGGGACUCAGAAUUCUCUAAUGAAAUACUGAAGACCACUAAGCAGGGGAGGCAACAGCAAAGGAAGUGGACCGAGAAGAAACCUCAGGUAGCACCUGAGCCUGCUGGGUACCCGCAGGGACCAUCUGUGACCACUGGCUCUCAACGAAGAGGAAAGGUCAUGAUCCCCGAGCAUCUGAGGCAACAUCUGCUUAGGGCCGCUUCUGAACUGGAAGCACCUGUGCAAGCUAGGUCCCCACAGAGAGCACCAGUGCCCACAGCAUCUCCUCAACACACACCCAUGUGCACCAAGUCUCUACAGACAGAAGCUAUGCCUGCCCCAAAGGUGCCAAAACCAAAGAUCCCUGAGCAGCUGAGGCAAGAGCUGCUGCAGCAGAAGCCCAACGAGACCCAAGAGAGGCAAAGGCUCAAGAUACCUGAGCGACUGAGUCAGGAGUUGCUGCAGCUGUCGACUCGAGCCUCUUCUGUUCAAGGAGCACCUGCACCCAACAAGACCCCAGAGAGGCAAAGGCUCAAGAUACCUGAGCGACUGAGUCAGGAGCUGCUGCAGCUGUCGGCUCGAGCCUCUUCUGUUCAAGGAGCACCUGUGCCUCAAAAGACCCCAGAGAGGCAAAGACUAAAACUCCCUCAGCCGCUGAGGCAGGAACUCCUGCAGGUUUCGUCUUGUGCCUCUUCUGAGAAGGGAGCACCUGUGCCUCAAAAGACCCAAGAGAGGCAAAAGCUCAAGAUGCCUGAGCGACUGAGGAAGGAGUUGCUGCAGCAGAAGCAUCAAGCCUCUCCUGUACAGGGUGCUCCCAUGCCUUCCAAGUCCCCACAGGAAGCACCUUUACCUGACAGGAACCCUGUGCAUGCCGGGACCCCACAGGGAGCAGGAGUGUUUGCAGAGGCACUGUCCGCUGAGCCUCUGAAAGGAAUAACAGUUCCCUCCAGAACCAUGAAGACAAGAAAACGGAGGCUUGCUGAGCAUCAAAGCAUUCCUGUCUCUGCCACCCAGGCACUACCCAUGCCCUCCAGGACCUCAAGCGUGACGCCUGUGCAUUCUGGGACCCUACAGGGAGCACUUGUGACCAAAAGUUCCCCACAACAGGGAUCAAAUCCCAGAAUCACUGAGCAGCAGAGGCAGAAGCGGAGGGAGCAGUGGAGACAGCAGCAGAGACAGCGGAGGCAGCAGAAAGCAUCAGACAACGUCGAUGUGUGUGAGCCGCCUCCACAAAAAAAGCUGGGUGUGGAAAUCGAAAAGGUGCAGCUGAAGCUCAAACUGGGGAAGCAUCAAGCCCCAAAGCCCAGGACCCAGCUGACCCUGAAGAUGGAUCAUGCAGCUGUGGGUCAGCAGUCACCUCCAGAAAAAAAGCAGUGCAUGGCAAACAAAAUCAAAGCCCAGCAGUUGGGACCAAGCGGCUUAAAGCAUUUAUGUAGCAUAUUCAUAUGUUUAAUUGAAUAUUUGUAAAUAUUUAUUAUUAGUAUAUAUUGUGUUUGUACAUAUUUGAUAUGAUUGUAUGCAUAAUAAAAAAUAAAAUAUAAA